rnacentral:sRNA from 1 species
GCAGGGCAUGGUGGUGCACGCCUGUAAUCCCAGCAGUUUGGGAGGCUGAGGCAGGAGGAUUGAGAGUUCAAAGCCAAACUCUGAAAAAGCGAAGGGCUAAGCAACUCAGUGAGACCCUGUCUCUA